rnacentral:rRNA from 1 species
AUUGAACGCUGGCGGCAGGCCUAACACAUGCAAGUCGAGCGGCAGCACGGGGAGCUUGCUCCCUGGUGGCGAGCGGCGGACGGGUGAGUAAUGCAUAGGAAUCUGCCCGGUAGUGGGGGAUAACGUGGGGAAACCCACGCUAAUACCGCAUACGUCCUACGGGAGAAAGCGGAGGAUCUUCGGACUUCGCGCUAUCGGAUGAGCCUAUGUCGGAUUAGCUAGUUGGUAAGGUAACGGCUUACCAAGGCGACGAUCCGUAGCUGGUCUGAGAGGAUGAUCAGCCACACUGGGACUGAGACACGGCCCAGACUCCUACGGGAGGCAGCAGUGGGGAAUAUUGGACAAUGGGCGAAAGCCUGAUCCAGCCAUGCCGCGUGUGUGAAGAAGGCUUUCGGGUUGUAAAGCACUUUCAGCGAGGAAGAAAGCCUCUGGAUUAAUACCCCAGAGGAAGGACAUCACUCGCAGAAGAAGCACCGGCUAACUCCGUGCCAGCCGCCGCCGUAACAC